rnacentral:misc_RNA from 1 species
AACGCAUCUUGCACCCUUGGGUAUUCCUGAGGGUAUGUCUGUCUGAGUGUCAUUUGAACUCUCAAAGUCCCUUUCCUUUCGAGGUCUCGGUGCUUUGGAUCGUGGGCGCUUGCGGGGUGUGGCUCGCUCGCCUCAAAGUCAAGGUGGUGGUCUCCUCUGAAACUUACGUUGGGUCUGACCCGGAGUGAUAGAAGUCUUUCGAGAUCUCUGGGGAUGCCUUAGGGCAACCUACUUGGGUGAGAGGGAUUGCUUAGAUAGACUUAUCUGACGUUUUCGACCUCAGAUCAGGCAGGACUACCCGCUGAACUUAA